rnacentral:lncRNA from 1 species
UAAUUUCUAGGUCUUAAAAAGAUUAGAUUAUCUUUUUAAUGAGUAUUUAUUAGAAUAUUAUACAUAUCUUUGUGGCACCCUUCUCAUAACAGUGCCAACCUGAGAUCAGGAUUACAGAGAUCCGGAGUUCGGAGAGCAGGAAUACUGGCAUCCAUAAUACGGAGAUCUAGAGUACAAAGAUCCAGAGUACAGAGAGCAGGAAGACGGAGAUCCAGAAUACAGAGUGAAGGAGGACAGAGUUCCAGAAUACAGAGUGCAGGAGGACAGAGUUCCAGAAUACAGAGAACAGAAACACCGAGAUCCAGAGUACAGAGAGCAGAAGUACAGAGAACCAGAGUACAGAGAUCUGGAGUAGGGAGAUCUAGAGUACAGAGAGCAGGAGUACUGAGAUCCAGAAUACAGAGAACGGGAGUGAUGAAAUCCGGAGUACCGAGAGUGGGAGUCCUGAGAGCAGGAGUACAGAGAGUGGGAGUCCUGAGAGCAGAACUACAGCGAGUGGGAGUACAGAGAUCCGGAGUACAGAGAUCCGGAGUACAGAGAUCAGGAGUACAAAGGGCAGGAUUAUUGCGAUCCAGUAUAUGAGAGAUUGGGCGUACAGAGCUUGGGAGUCCCCGUUGUUCAAGUAAGGGAAGACGUUGAUAAACUUCACUCCCAAUGAGUCUGAAUAAAUAAUAAAUGAAGGUCA